UACGUAGGUGGCGAGCGUUGUCCGGAAUUACUGGGUGUAAAGCGCGUGUAGGCGGCAGGCCAAGUCGGUGGUGAAAGCGCCCGGCUCAACUGGGCGAGGUCCAUGGAAACUGGUCAGCUGGAGGACGGUAGAGGCGAGUGGAAUUCCCGGUGUAGUGGUGAAAUGCGUAGAUAUUCGCAAGAACACCAGUGGCGAAGGCGGCCAACUGGUCCGGUACUGACGCUGAGGUGCGAAAGCGUGGGGAGCAAACAGG
rnacentral:rRNA from 1 species